rnacentral:rRNA from 1 species
AGAGUUUGAUCCUGGCUCAGGAUGAACGCUGGCGGCGUGCCUAACACAUGCAAGUCGAACGGGUGUACGGGGAGGAAGGCUUCGGCCGGAAAACCUGUGCAUGAGUGGCGGACGGGUGAGUAACGCGUGGGCAACCUGGCCUGUACAGGGGGAUAACACUUAGAAAUAGGUGCUAAUACCGCAUAACGGGGGAAGCCGCAUGGCUUUUCCCUGAAAACUCCGGUGGUACAGGAUGGGCCCGCGUCUGAUUAGCCAGUUGGCAGGGUAACGGCCUACCAAAGCGACGAUCAGUAGCCGGCCUGAGAGGGCGGACGGCCACAUUGGGACUGAGACACGGCCCAAACUCCUACGGGAGGCAGCAGUGGGGAAUAUUGCACAAUGGGGGAAACCCUGAUGCAGCGACGCCGCGUGAGUGAAGAAGUAUUUCGGUAUGUAAAGCUCUAUCAGCAGGGAAGAAAAUGACGGUACCUGACCAAGAAGCCCCGGCUAACUACGUGCCAGCAGCCGCGGUAAUACGUAGGGGGCAAGCGUUAUCCGGAUUUACUGGGUGUAAAGGGAGCGUAGACGGUUGUAUAAGUCUGGAGUGAAAGCCCGGGGCCCAACCCCGGGACUGCUUUGGAAACUGUGUAACUUGAGUACAGGAGGGGCAGGCGGAAUUCCUGGUGUAGCGGUGAAAUGCGUAGAUAUCAGGAGGAACACCGGCGGCGAAGGCGGCCUGCUGGACUGAAACUGACGUUGAGGCUCGAAAGCGUGGGGAGCAAACAGGAUUAGAUACCCUGGUAGUCCACGCCGUAAACG